AUGUCCAUCUGCCAUCCAUCAUCCAAUAAGGCACCUGCGCGCUUCAUGCCAUUAAGCAUAAGCAAUAUUGUCUUCCCGUGCUUAGCUCUGUAUGCAUCCGAACUCAUCCGUGUGAGAACUGGGUCCAGCACGUUCAGUCUCUUCAUAAGCAUGUCAAACACGUACAAGCAUCAGUCUCUCAUCAUUGAGACAGGCAUCAUUAUCUGCAUCAGCAUGGGAAAGUUCAAAUUUGGGCAACAACAGUCACAACGAUUUGACAACACCUUUAGGAAACGUACCAGGCGACAGAAUUUCAACUGA
rnacentral:rRNA from 1 species